rnacentral:tRNA from 1 species
AGGCUUGUAGCUCAGGUGGUUAGAGCGCGCCCCUAUAAGGGUGAGGUCGGUGGUUCAAGUCCACUCAGGCCUACCA